rnacentral:lncRNA from 1 species
AUGACUGUCCAAAACUCCAAAUCCGAUCUCCACCGUUCUUAUUGAAGAUACAUGAGCCACGAACCUCUCCUUCAAAUUUCAACUCGAUCGGACCACGGACGAAGUGGGAUCGGACAUUUGAUGAAAUCUAGGCAUGAUGAGAAAACCUACGUUUUUCUCUCUUCUCCUCUUUCUUUCUAAUGACUUUCCGAAACUCCAAAUCCGAUCUUCACCGUUCAGAUUGAAGAUAAAUGAGUCACGAAACUCUCCUCCAAAUUUCAGCUCGAUCGGACCACAGACGAAGUGGGAUCAAACCUUUGAUGAAAUCUGGGCAUGAUGAGAAAAACUUGCAUUUUUCGCUCUUCUCUUCUUUCUCACUAAAAACAGUGGCUCUCUCCCUUCUUUCUUGUCUUCCAAAAGUUAGGGUUUUCAAUGGAGACUUUAUAACAAAUUCUAAAAUACCAUGCAUGUCCUUUUUCAAUAAAUUAAAAUAGUAUUCUUUAUUUCAUCUUCCAAUAAUAAUUUUUAUAUAUUGAACUCAUAAUGAAUUUAUAUUGUUUAAUUAUUUGAUAUUUUAGGUUGAUGUCGGUUUAAUUUGAAUAUUAAUAUUUAAAAAAAAAACUAAUUUAAUAGAAUGAACUUAAUUCCCAUAAAUAUUAGAAAGUUUUUAUAAAUAUUCUUAUUGCAUUUAGUUUUAUUGUGAGUCUAAUCAUCAUUAAAUUAAUUUAAAUAUUAAUUUAUUUCAUUUUAGUUAAAUAAUUUCAAAUUUAUAUUCAUUAACUAUAAAAAAUUCUCAAAUAAAAGGGUUAAACCUAAUAAAUGUGGCCCAAGGCUCGAACAAGUGCUCAACAUAGGCCACUUUUUUGUGGUCCACAAAUAAAUUAACAAAUUAUUUUUAAAUGAAAUAUAAGAUAAUUUCUAAUUUAAUAAAAAUGAAAAAUAGUUUAUGAAAAUAGAUUGUAUUGAUACAAACUAUAAAAAAAUUAAUAUCAAACAAUAAAAAAAUAAUUUAUUAGGAUUUUAUUUUAUUUAUAUCCAAAUUUUUUUAAAAAAACCUUAAUGUAGCAACUUUAUGUCAUUAAUAUUAAUGUCAAUUUACCAUAAUUAAUUUAUAAAAUAAAAUUCUAAUAUCAAAAUUUGUAUAAGUUAACUUAAAAACAAAAAUUUUAAAAGUCAAUACAACUAUGACACUUCUCAGGAACGUCAUUACAUACCCAUCAAAUAAUGAUGCUUAUAAUAAGUGUCAAGGUAAAUAAUAAAACUAUGACGCUUCUUAUAAGCGUCAUUAUAUACACAGUUAUAAGGAAAAAGAUGACAUCAAAUAAUGACACUUAUAAUAAGUAUCAAGAUAAAUAAUACAACUAUGACACUUCUUAUAAGCGUCAUUGUAUACCCUCAAUAAUGACGCUUUUAGAAAGCGUCAUAAAAUAAAGCGUCAUUAAUUUCAAUUUUUGUAGUAGUGAUUAUCAUAUCUAUGAGGAGGAUGAAUCUGGAAAAUCUGAACUAGUGAACCAGGAAGCAGGUGAGUUGGAUAUGAGUGGUCAACAAUUUGGGUCCGAAGAUGUCUCCACUGAAAUACCAAACCAAUCGUCGUCUGUUGAGGGUGUUCUUAUUUUGGAACCUGAUCCAUUCAUGAAACGGUUACCAAAUCGUCAUAAUAGAGGUAUUCCUAAACCCACAUAUGAACCUGAAUUGUCUACCAAAGUCAAAUAUCCCAUGAGCAACUAUGUGUCUAACCAUCGUUUGUCUGAAUCAAAUAAGUCAUUUGUAAAUCAAUUAUCUACUGUAGCUAUUCCUAACAGUGUGCAGGAAGCCUUAACUGAUCCAAGAUGGAAAACAGCCAUGAAUGAAGAGAUGAAAUCAUUGCAGAAGAAUGAAACAUGGGAACUCAUAGAAUGUCCACCAAGAAAGAAGCCAGUUGGGUGUCGUUGGAUCUAUACUGUGAAGUACAAGGCAGAUGGUAGUAUUGAAAGAUUUAAAGCAAGACUGGUAGCAAAAGGGUACACUCAAACUUAUGGAAUUGACUACACAGAGACAUUUGCACUUGUAGCUAAGAUCAACACAGUUCGAGUAUUACUAUCUUUAGCUGCAAACCUAGAUUGACCAUUACAACAGUUCGAUGUGAAAAAUGCCUUUCUGCAUGGCGAGUUAUCUGAAGAAGUAUACAUGGAUCUUCCACCAGGAUGCAUGGUGUCAGAAAAGCAAUGUCAAAAGGUGUGCAAAUUGAAGAAGUCAUUGUAUGGGUUGAAGCAAUCCCCGAGAACAUGGUUUGGAAGGUUCACAAAGUCAAUGAGAGUUUUUGGCUAUCGUCAAAGUAAUUCAGAUCACACUUUGUUCCUGAAAAAGCAACAUGGUAAGAUUACGACAUUCAUCGUAUAUGUGGAUGACAUGGUAGUUACAGGAAAUGAUCCUAAAGAAAGAAAAGCUCUGCAAAAUUAUCUAUCUAGAGAAUUCGAAAUGAAAGAUCUAGGUCCUCUGAAAUACUUUAUUGGGAUUGAAGUUUCUCGAUCAAGUGAAGGAAUUUUUCUGUCUCAAAGAAAGUAUGCCUUAGAUCUUUUACAGGAGACUGGAAUGUCGGGAUGUCAACCUGUUAAUACACCAAUAGAAGAAGGUCUGAAAUUGUGUGUUGAGCCUAAUCAAGUAUCAACCGAUAAGGGAAGAUACCAGAGACUUGUGGGGAGAUUAAUGUACUUAGCUCAUACAAGAUCAAAUCUUGUUUAUGCAUUGAGUGUAGUGAGUCAAUACAUGCAUAGUCCUGGAGAGCAACAUAUGAAUGCAGUCAUGUGUAUUUUGAGGUAUUUGAAGAAUGCUCCUGGGAAGGGAAUUUUGUUCGCUAAAAAUGUUGAUCAUCAAAGUAUAGAAGUAUAUACUGAUGCUGAUUGGGCCGGUGCAGUGGAUGAUAGGCGAUCUACAUCUGGUUACUUUACCUUUGUAGGUGGUAAUCUUGUGACAUGGAAAAGUAAGAAGCAGAAUGUCGUCGCCCGUUCAAGUGCAGAAGCGGAAUUUAGAGGUAUGACUCUAGGACUUUGUGAGACAUUGUGGCUAAGACUCCUCUUACAGGAUUUAGGUUACCUAUCUAGGCAACCAAUUCGAUUGUUUUGUGACAAUAAAGUCGCAUGUGACAUUGCUCAUAAUCCAGUACAACAUGAUCGUACAAAGCAUGUCGAGGUGGAUAGAUUCUUCAUUAAGGAAAAGUUGGAUGAUAAGAUUGUGAAAUUGCCUAAAAUUCGAUCAGAAAAUCAAUUAGCCAAUAUCCUCACCAAAUCUGUCUCAAGUCAAGUGUUCUCAAAAUUUUUAGACAAGUUGAGCAUGUGCAACAUCUAUGCACCAACUUGAGGGGAAGUGUUGAGAUAUUAAGAAUGUUUAGAUAUUAGGAAAGUUGAGAUAUUAGGAAUAUUGAGAUAUUAUGAAUAUUGAGAUAUUAGGAAUAUUGAGAUAUUAGGAAAGUUGAGAUAUUAGGAUAUUAGUUGUUAUUUCCUUAUAUCAUUCUUUCCUUGUAUCAUUUUUUCCCAUUCUUAGAAUGGUGAUUACCCUCUAUAUAUAAUCUGUACAUGAGCGAAUGAAAAAAUUAAUGAAAAAACUAUCAUUUAUCAAUUUGAAGACCUAUAGGAGGAGAGGAAAAAACAUGACAUUAAAAAACCAAAGUACCAAUAUCUGCAUGAAAACUAUCUAUAUUAUCCAAGAAAUGAUCAUUGCAAAUAAGUUCAGACUUAGAGGCAUUAUGAGACUCAACAAGAAUAGAAAAGGCAUAUGCUUAAGGAAGAAAAUAUGACUAGAAAAGAAAAGUAUAUGCUUAAAGUAGUGGAUGAUAUAAAACUAAAGCUAUAAGGAAAGAGAAAAGAAUAAGAAGUAGUAGAAGACACAAAACUAAAGUCAUCAAGGAAAAAGAGAUAGAAGUCGACAUAAAACUAUCGAGGAAUGAGAAGUCAAGGAAGAGAGACAAAAGAAAACAUAAAACCGUAGAAGAAAGAGAGACAAAUAGAAUUUAAAUUCAUAUCCAACAAACAGAGACAAGAUAGAAUUUGAAUUCACAUUCAACAAAUGAAGACGAAUAGAAUUUAGAUUCUUAUAUAAUAAACAUAGAUAAGUUAAAAUAUGAAUUUAUAUUCAACAAAUAAAGAUAGAUAGAAUUUAAAUUUAUAUCCAACAAACAAAUAAGAGAAAUGUAAAAUUAGAUGUUUCAUGUCAAAUAUUAAAUUAAAGUAAAAAAAAUAUAAUUGAUUAAAAGGGAAAAAAGAAAUAUGAGAUUACAAAUCUAAACUUUUUUUUUAAUGCAAAACAAUAUUCAUUUUAGGCAAUAAUACUCUCACCAUUUUCUUACAAAAAUAACAUUUUUUUAAAUACAUGUAAAUACUAAAAAUAUUAAAAAGUAUUUAUGGAAAAAAUAAAUUACUCUUAAUUUUAUGAAAUCUUUUCAUCUUUUAAUAAAUUAAUCCAAAAAUAAUAAUAAUAACGAUAAGCUCCACGUAUUUAUGCAUUAGUCAAAAGGAAUCACACGUCAAGUAGCCGCUUUAUGGCUUUUCCAGUAUUUCAGAAAAAAAAAACAAAAAAAUCCCAUACCAAUAGGAUUGUCCACGUGGGCAUAUAUCUAGAAAUUUCUGAUUUUAUUUCCGCCCAGAAUUUCGUAACGUUCUCGUUGGCCGUUGCAGAAUUAAAUUUCCAGCAUGUUUGAAAUGAAAUGCAUUUGAAGAACGGCUCUUAUUCAUGCCUUGUCAGUUGCCACCUAAUAUUGUAAGCAAUUACAUCAUCCUAUCAGAAAGUGAAGGCAGCCUCCUGAAGAAAUUGAAAGCAGGUGACGGCGCCCUGUCCCUGAACAUGGGAUGCCUCAUGUAAUAAAACCCACCCGCCAUCGCCACCAUCUUCGACGGCACCAAAUACAGCACCACCGCCACCACCAAACACAACCCUACGAAUAUCCCUGUCGCCCGUGGGUCCCUCCACAUCACCAACGCCUGCACUCUCUCCCCUUGCGUCGCUGCAUCCCCCAACACCGUCUGCACUCGCGCCCCCAGUGUCCUCAGCUUAUCGUAUCUCGCAAGCACCCUCUCCGGUGAUCGGCUGCUUGGUACCGUAUCGAAUUCCUCAUCCAACUCCUCCCGAUCAACCGCCUCUACCAUUGAUAUCUUGGGGCAGAAGUGGGGGAGUGGCUCUCGCGAUUUGAAUCUGUAGUUCCACGCGCCGAUGGCGAAGACGUAGAAGGAUAGCGUGGGGAAGAUGAGAUCCGGGAACCACACCAGCAGCACCAGCAAGGCGUGCACCAGGAUUGUGGCCGUCGGAUUCUUCCACGACCUAGUGUCGUCGACCCAUCGGACUAUGUCGAUCACUCCGGCCACCACAUUGAUGAUCCUGAUCCAGUUUGCCCGCACCUUUCGCAUGCUGAAGGCCUGAGUGUCGGCGUCCAACAUGUAGAGCACGAUCUCCCGCCUCAGCGGUGGCUCCGACCUCGACAAGUGUUCGGCCACGAUUUUGGCAGCAGUGUUCCGCAGAAUUUCCUGUUGGACCACUCCUAGAGGUUUGAUGUGGUGCAUUAAGGGCAAGAGAGGUUGGCUGUAGACGUGGAGGAUGUCGAGCGUGUGAACGGCACGUACGAAUCUCACGGCCAGCUCUAUCUCCCCCAUUUGCUUCUUUCCUGCGGGAGACAAGAGCAGCAACGGAUACCGGUUCUUGUACACUCGACCCGUCUGAAGAGUAGAGAUACGUAUCCGUACUUUCCCCAUUCGGAAAUCUGGAUGCGUGGCUUCCUUGGAGCCUUCUAUCUGGAAUGCAGCGGAGCUGUCGAACACCCCAACGCUGAGGACAGUGCAGGGGUCGUACACCUUCCACGUGUACUGCUCGUUCCACUUAGGAUCCAGGCUUUCAGAUACUGUACGUGUACGGACCCACUUCGGACCGUAUUUGGCUACUGCGUACGCGUCCGUUGAUCCUCUGCCGUCGAUUGUUUUCAUUGGGAGAAGGUUUUUACAUGCGAUGAUUCCCAGCUCCACCGUGCCGAUAGGUGGUUUCCAGAGCUGUCUCGCCGUCGGCCGGAAGUCGCUGCAGACAUGCGCGGCCUCGUCCAUCACGUGAUAUCCACCGUCGAAGCAUAAACGUAGGUGGACUCUACCCUUGUAACUGCUCCUUUCCUCCUCCUUGUUAGGGUUUUGAAAGCUGAACCAGUGCGACACAGGUGUUCGAUCGUCCACACGCCGCUCGAUCGCCGUCAACGGCACUCUCGCGACGCCCAGGGUGGCUACCUUUCCUUUCGUUUGCUGGCUUUCGAGGGUGAAGAUGAGGUGCUCGUGAGUGAAGGGUUCGGCGGCGACGAACAUGAGGUCCUGGUUCCAUAACGGAGUUCCGUUUCGAGUGACGGAGACUUUUGUUUUUUGUAUUUGAAACCCCAACUUCACUGUUAGUUGAAGUGACAAAUCUUUUAACGACGUUAACGGCAAAACGUCUUGAGCUUCCAUAACUGUGAUUCUAAGGUACCACAAUUUGGGAGAUUGGUAUACUUUAGAUUUCGAGUGAACGCUACCCGCUGCGUCAGUAAUCCAUGCUUCAGGAAACGAUUCAUCAGCUUGAGUGCCGAUCCACGUGGCGAGCAUCAGAACGCCGUUGUCGGCUGCACCACCUUCGAUUCUGUACCACUGUGGGGCUAGUGGGCUGUCAGGUGGAUCCCGCAGUGGAAUCUCCGCCACGUCAAAGCAGAUGCCGCCUAAGAAACCAUCUCCUGCCACGUCGGAUGGAUUUGAGGGUCGAGGGUCCCACACUGAGACUUCAAGAAGGGAAGUAGAUUCUGGUGUCUCACGGCCGAAAGCGAAUGUCUGGUCCCACUCAAAGAAGCUUGUACUUUUCAGGGCUGGUUUGGAGCUGACGUGGCUUCCGGAAACUGCUAUCGUCACCACCGGAUUUCCUUUAGUGGGUAGAGAUCGAGCUUUCACGACUCUGACGAAUAUGUAGUGCAUUUUCUCAACGAGAUCGAACGAGGUCCGUUCGAUUGAAACUGUCCCCCGCAGAUCGGCCUUGAAGUUGCCGGAAGACAGUGGCCGGUGAACUGGCUCGAAUGGGGCGAAUUUCACUUGCGGAGCCGAUCUGUUUUCUAUAGAUGCCAUGACCUGCGGCGACGGUACCCAUUUGGGAACUGGAGCUUCGGUUUCUGCAUUUGAUUGCUCUACGUCUGGUGGGCAUGCCUCCAUCUUAUCCUGUGUUCCUUCCUGUGGUGGCGGCGGUGGCUCAGAUUCCGGCUGUUUUUCUGCUUCAGGGGUGGGAUUUUCUGAAGGUGGUGCAGGUUCUUCGGCUGGAGGUGCAGCUUCCACAGGUGGUGGAGCCGGCGGUUGUUCUUCACUAGAUUUUGGCGGAUCAGAUGCUGCAGGUUCAGGUUCAGCUGGCGGCACUGCUUCAGUCUUGGGAGGAGGAGCUGCGGGAGCGUCAGUGGUUCCGGAAUCAGCAGCAGGCGGCGGCACUGCCUCAGGUGGCUUAACUUCCUCCAGUACCGGUGGCUGCGAAGGCACUUCCUCAUCCACAUAAUAAAUUUUGAAACCGAUAUCGCCCUGAGUCCAACUAAAGAAGCUCUUCUUCUCCAAAGGGAAGUAGAUCAAAGCCUCCUCACCUUUCUUAACAAACUGCCUAGAACUCAAUCUAAUCCUACCCAAACAGUUGUUUCUACGUGUAGGGCCAUAGUUUCGAUCAUGCAAAACAUCAACCUCAAUCGUGUCCCCGAACAACUCCAAAGCCCCCGAGGCCACAUUAAACUCCAAGACCUCAUUCCAGGUGGGGUUCAAGUCCCGCACCACCGUCUUGGUCCGCUUUCGCUGCCCACAGAAGUCCACAAUCGCAUACGGACUGGACGUCCCCUGCCCAUCUUUCGGCAAAAGAUUCCGACCAUCCACUACCUCAACUAUCAGCUUCCGAAUGGUAGCCAUAAAACUAAUAAUGACUUUAACUUAAAGAAACCUCCAUGCAGAAGAACAAUAGAGAGAUGUUGGAAAUAUGUAUAUAUAUAUAUAUAUAUACCGAUCAGGCACAGAGAGAUGUUGGGUUCGUUAGGGUUUGGUGGAGUGGUAGUGGAGUUGUGGGUUGUAAUGAAGAAAAGUGGAGAUAACAAAGGUUCUAAACUUCAUGUGCAAGGCAGCCUUAGACAAAACAAUGCAUUCACACAAGUUUAAGGUAAUGCUUUUAGGCCUUUUGGCUCAUGAGAUAAUGGGUUACUUUGAAGAGAGAAGAUUCCCAUUUUACCUAGGGAGUAGGGCUUAGAGCGACUUGGAGAGGGAAAUGGCACCGCCAAGUGACUAUGCUUUCCCGAAUUUGGCCCCUUUUUAUGAGUCACCACCGACCCUUUAUGGUUUUUGCAUGCCACCACCUUCACCUUUUACUUUUUGCCUACUGUAUCCUUAUCACUAUCAGAAUUGGAAGUUUGAAAAUGCUUUCAUCUCUAAGACUGAGACGCAACCCACUACUACUGCUUUUCCGCAAUUCCAUGAAUGGUGAUGUGGUUGGAAUGCGUGAUUGACAGUGUGGCCUCUUUGGAUGCCAAUGCUUUCACCCAUGCAUAUGGAAAAUAAUGCACCUGUCGGUCAUUCGUUUAGCAAAAUGUUCCAUCCUUUCAUCUGAAUUUUGGUUUCAAAUGUUCCGUAAAAAAGAAAUCGGACAUUCUUUGAAACUUAAAAGAGUCGUUUGUCACUGUGCUUGUUUAAAGAAAGGGGGAAAAUCACGCAACGAUUGCAUUAACUAUAAAAAAAUAUGGGAUUUUAGAACUUUACUUUUUGCCUUUUAAUUUUAGUGUAAAAUGAAAAAAAAAUAUUGUAUAUUCAUGCAUUUCAAUAGUACUUUUAAAUUUAUUUCAUAAUUACCCUCGAAAGUAAAUAACAAAAUAUAUACCAAUUUAAUACGCCUCUUGAUAAAUACAUGUAUCAUUUAUUUUUAUUAUUUCUCUCACAUCAAUAUAUCUCACUUACUACGUGCCACGUGCCCACUUUUUUUUUUUUUUUUUUUUUUCCUUUUUUUCUCCUUUCCUCCCACCAUAAUCCAUUGUCACCUAUUAUUACUAUUUUUCUCUUUCUCCUUUAUAUUCAUUUUAAUAUGCUUAUGUAUUUUCUCACAAAACUUCUUUAAUUUUAAUUUUUUUUACUCUCCAAUUUUUCCAUAUUUAUUGAUUUUAAUUAUUUUUUUGACACAUUAAACUUUAAAUGAUAUUAUAUAAUAAAUAGUUAAUAGAAAAAAUUAAAUACAAAAAUUUAUAUAUAUAUAUAUAUAUAUAUAUAUAUAUAUAUAUAUAUAUAUAUAAUGGACAAAAAUGAAAAUAUUAUUCCACAAAUAAUACACUUGAUGAUUUUAAAUAUUAAUUAUAAUAAUACAUUUGACAAAUUAAGGUUUAAAUUUAAAAAUUAUAUUUUAUUAUUUAGAGGUUUAUGAUAUAAGAUUUUUUAUAUUAAUACCAAACAAAAUAUUUAUUUAUUUUGUAAAUUUUAUCAUAUGUAAAAGUAAAAAUAUCUUUGUAAUACUAUUUAUUAUUUACAUUAUUUUUAUUUUUAUUUUCAUUUUAAAUUUAUCAUAUCAAAAUCACAAUAAGUGAUGGUGCUUUUACCAUUUUUCUUAUGAUUUUAAUUUGAUUGUGGAUCUAACUUUUUAUUUGGUUAAAAUCAUUAAUUUUAAAUUAAAUUAAAAUAUAAAAGAAAAUAUAUUUUUCAUAAAAAAAAAAUUAUUUAACCUUGAUAUUAAUUUCAUAAAAAAUAGGUACAAUCUUAAAAAAAAAGGUAAAUUCAAGCUUAGGGGAAUCAGAACUACUGUCAUACUUAUCAUGGUGUAUAUAUUCUUUUGGGACCCUCGAUAAAUAAUUGGAGGUCUUCGCCCACCCCAAAACGAACUUUGGAAUCCUAGGUAUAUCUAUUCUUAGAGGAACCAAGACCCCUAUCUCCAUUCUCAUGGUUCAUAUAUUCCUUUGGGGACCCUCAAGAAGAAAUUGCAAGUU